GUCUUUGUAGCUGAGAGGUUUAGCGUUGUCCUGUGGAGACAAAGACGUUGGUUCAAUUCCUACCAGGGACC
rnacentral:tRNA from 1 species